CCAUCGGAUAACCCGUCGAAAGGCGCUAACACGAUAUGCGGUUCUCAGCAGGCAUCUAACGAGAACGAAAUGUGAAGGAGAAGGAUGGGGAUGCGUCUGAUUAGCUUGUUGGCGGGGUAACGGCCCACCAAGGCGACGAUCAGUAGGGGGUUCUGAGAGGAAGGUCCCCCACAUUGGAACUGAGACACGGUCCAAACUCCUACGGGAGGCAGCAGUGAGGAAUAUUGGUCAAUGGACGAGAGUCUGAACCAGCCAAGUAGCGUGCAGGAUGACGGCCCUAUGGGUUGUAAACUGCUUUUAUAAGGGAAUAAAGUUAGUCUCGUGAGACUUUUUGCAUGUACCUUAUGAAUAAGGACCGGCUAAUUCCGUG
rnacentral:rRNA from 1 species